rnacentral:snRNA from 1 species
CCAGCUUCUCGGCCUUUUGGCUAAGAUCAAGUGUAGUAUCUGUUCUUAUCAGUUUAAUAUUCUCUUCUCAAAAAAGCAUCCAAAAUAUAUUUAUGAAUGAAGCAAAGCAAAAUAU